rnacentral:sRNA from 1 species
UGAGGCCUGCCGACCGCUGCGCUGCUCG